UUCUUAUCAAGAGAGGCGGAGGGAACAGGCCCGUUGAAACCUCAGCAACCUACACACAAUGUGAAAAGGUGCUAAAUCCAUCCUGCAAUCAUGCAGGGAAGAUAAGAA
rnacentral:ncRNA from 1 species